rnacentral:sRNA from 1 species
UGUUCGAACAAUCGAUCUCUUUCUGGACC